UGGCGGAAGGACGCGAGUGC
rnacentral:siRNA from 1 species